rnacentral:rRNA from 1 species
UACGUAGGGUGCAAGCGUUGUCCGGAAUUAUUGGGCGUAAAGAGCUCGUAGGCGGUCUGUUGCGUCGGCUGUGAAAACCCGGGGCUCAACUCCGGGCCUGCAGCCGAUACGGGCAGACUAGAGUUCGGCAGGGGAGACUGGAAUUCCUGGUGUAGCGGUGAAAUGCGCAGAUAUCAGGAGGAACACCGGUGGCGAAGGCGGGUCUCGUGGGCCGAUACUGACGCUGAGGAGCGAAAGCGUGGGGAGCGAACAGG